UUGGGGGUUUUACUGCACCUCCUCACUUUUGUAGUUUAUUAAUUUCCUAUAAAUUACCUAGGCAACAACGACUAAACAAGACAAAUAACUAGUUAAUAAUUGUUUUUUUUUUAAUCGACACUGCAGCGCGCCAUACGCUUAGUUGAAUGUUCCAUUGACGUAGUUUUGCGAAAAGUUUGCAGAUCUGCAGUAAUGGAAGCUCUAGUAAAAGGUAUAGCUCUUGGUGUAGCGGCUGUGGCAGCAGCAGUGCUUGUGGCCGUGGAGUGGUUGAACUACAGGAAUGUGCCACAACCAUACAGCACACACGGACAAAAGCCACGACGGAACUGAUCCUCAUUCAGAGGAACAUCAUUUCAAGUUACAUCACAAUGGAAGUCUUCACAUUCGAAUUUAGACUAUUUAAAAUAAAUAUCUGGAAGUAAGCUUUACUGCACAGCAAUAAGGUCGUCACAGGGAUUGUUUAUAUUUAAGUAGAUUUAAACGCUUUUCGAAUCAAACUAUAUAAUACUAUACAUUUUAUUAUAAAAAUUAUUAGUUUAUCUUAUUAAAUUCACGCAUUCAAAUGCAAUGGUAGACAAUAAUAAUCAAUUUAUUAUCACCACACAUUUUUACAAUUAAUGCAAUUUAUAAUAACUUUUUUUUUGAGGUCCCCUAUAUUGCUGAAGACGAAUCUAGGACCUUAGGUAGAUUAGUUUAGACCUGCAUUAGUAAGAGAUAGGUAGACAGUGGCGACAGAAUCUACACCAGUAGUUAUUAAUUAAUUUGAGUCAAUUAUAAAGUUACCAAAAUAUUGUUCAAGCGGGACUACACUGGGGGGAACAGCACGGGACGAAAAGUAUUGCCAAAUUUACUUGCAAUAAUGGUGCCGUUGUAGUAGUACUUUCGUUUACCGUCCCAAUUUAUGUAGUUACGCUAUAGUGCAUUACCGUUGUGGCACGAGCUGCAUUUCGACUGCAGUCGGAGGCAGGACAAAUUCAUUGUUUAAACGACAUUGCAUGAACUUUCGUACGCCUUAACGUCGUUUGCAUAGCAAUCGGCAAUUAUGAUCUAGUCACUAUGCAAUUGCACCAAACAGCAUUGCAAUUGUUAUUUUGCAGUUGCGAUGCUGUUCGUGUAAGCACUUAAUCCGUCGCCUUACAGUGAAAACUUAUAAACCACUUGCUUGAAUAUAUUUAUUAAAUUAGUAUAGCAUCAGAAAGCACUAUAAUUGAAUUAAAUUAAAAUGCUAACUACAAACACAAUUAGCGGUUACACUGCGUUUUAUAGCCAGCUGCAUCGAUGCAGUCGCUCGUGUUGAAUUAUUACUUAUUAAAAAAAACGACCUCAAUAGGGUGAGG